CCCUUAGAUGUUCUGGGCCGCACGCGUGCUACACUGAGUGGAUCAGCGGGUCAGGUUGCGCGAAAGCUUUUCCUAAUCUUUAAAUCCGCUCGUGAUGGGGAUUGACGGUUGCAAUUUUCUGUCAUGAACGAGGAAUACCUUGUAAGCGCGGGUCAUCAUCCCGCGCUGAAUACGUCCCUGCCCUUUGUACACACCGCCCGUCGCUCCUACCGAUUGAGUGGUCCGGUGAGGCUUUGGGAUCUGAGCGGAAAGAGCGUUUCGCUGUUUCUGCUCGGAAAACUCAGUCGAACCUUAUCAUUUAGAGGAAGGAGAAGUCGUAACA
rnacentral:rRNA from 1 species